UACGGAAGGCAGCAGUGGGGAAUAUUGCACAAUGGGCGAAAGCCUGAUGCAGCUAUGCCGCGUGUAUGAAGAAGGCCUUAGGGUUGUAAAGUACUUUCAUCGGGGAGGAAAAACAAAACUAAUAAUUUUAUUUCUUGACGUUACCCGAAAAAGAAGCACCGGCUAACUCCGUGCCAGCAGCCGCGGUAAUACGGAGGGUGCUAGCGUUAAUCAGAAUUACUGGGCGUAAAGAGCACGUAGGUGGUUUUUUUAAGUCAGAUGUGAAAUCCCUGGGCUUAACCUGGAACUGCAUUUUGAAACUGAAAUACUAGAGUAUCGUAGAGGGAGGUAGAAUUCUAGGUGUAGCGGUGAAAUGCGUAGAUAUCUGGAGGAAUACCUGUGGCGAAAGCGGCCUCCUAAACGAAUACUGACACUGAGGUGCGAAAGCGUGGGGAGCGAAACAGGGAUUAGAUA
rnacentral:rRNA from 1 species